rnacentral:rRNA from 1 species
AACUAACGCUAGCGGCGUGCCUAACACAUGCAAGUCUUACGAGAAAGUUCGUUUCGGCGAAUGAGUACAGUGGCGCACGGGUGAGUAACGCGUGGAUAAUCUGCCCUCGAGUUAGGAAUAACCCACCGAAAGGUGGGCUAAUACCCAAUGAUGCUGAUUCACCCUGGUGAAUCAGCCAAAGGUGGCCUCUGUUACAAGCUACCGCUCCUGGAUGAGUCCGCGUACCAUUAGCUUGUUGGUAGGGUAAUGGCCUACCAAGGCGACGAUGGUUAGCUGGUCUGAGAGGAUGACCAGCCACACUGGAACUGAGACACGGUCCAGACUCCUACGGGAGGCAGCAGUGAGGAAUUUUGCGCAAUGGGGGAAUCCCUGACGCAGCAACGCCGCGUGAGUGAGGAAGGUCUUCGGAUCGUAAAGCUCUGUCAGGUGGGAAGAAGUGGAUAACGGCAAAUAACCGUUUUCCUUGACGGUACCACCAGAGGAAGCACCGGCAAACUCUGUGCCAGCAGCCGCGGUAACAC